rnacentral:tRNA from 1 species
AUCUGGCUGGCUCAGUCAGUAGAGCGUGCGACUCUUGAUCUCAGGGUUGUGAGUUCGAACCCCACAUUGGAUA